GGAAUCUUGCACAAUGGGGGAAACCCUGAUGCAGCGACGCCGCGUGAGCGAUGAAGCCCUUCGGGGUGUAAAGCUCUUUCGACCGGAACGAUAAUGACGGUACCGGGAUAAGAAGCUGCGUCUAACUACGUGCCAGCAGCCGCGGUAAUACGUAGGCAGCGAGCGUUGUUCGGAGUUACUGGGCGUAAAGCGUGCGUAGGCGGUUUUCUAAGUCUGGUGUGAAAUCUCCCGGCUUAACCGGGAGGGUGCGCCGGAUACUGGAAGGCUCGGAGUGUGGGAGAGGUAAGCGGAAUUCCUGGUGUAGCGGUGAAAUGCGUAGAUAUCAGGAGGAACACCGGCGGUGUAGACGGCUUGCUGGACCACUACUGACGCUGAGGCACGAAAGCGUGGGGAGCAAAC
rnacentral:rRNA from 1 species